UGGGGUUGUGGCUCAGUGGUAGAGCACUUGCCUAGCAUGUGAGAGGCACUGGGUUCGAUUCUCAGCACCACAA
rnacentral:tRNA from 1 species